UGUGACCUUGUUGGAGGAAGUAUGUCACUGGGGGUAGGCUUUGGGGUUUCAGAAACCUAAGCCAGGCCCAGGGGCUCUCUCUCUAUCUCUUCUGCUUCCUGCAGGUCC
rnacentral:miRNA from 1 species